GGAUGAACGUUGGCGGUGUGCCUAAUACAUGCAAGUCGAACGGAGCUAAUAGCAAUAUUGGCUUAGUGGCGAACGGGUGAGUAACGCGUUGGUGAUCUGCCUUGAAGUGUGGAAUAACGUUCCGAAAGGAUCGCUAAUACCGCAUGUGCUCUCGAUUUUCAGAAAGUUGAGAGUAAAGGAUUUAUUCGCUUCAAGAGGAGCCUGCGUCCCAUCAGCUGGUUGGUAGGGUAACGGCCUACCAAGGCUAUGACGGGUAGGGGACCUGAGAGGGUGGCCCCCCACAAUGGAACUGAAACACGGUCCAUACACCUACGGGUGGCAGCAGUAGGGAAUAUUAGAAAUGGACGAAAGUCUGAUCUAGCAACACCGCGUGUGCGAAGAAGGCCUUCGGGUCGUAAAGCACUUUUUGGAAGGAAUAGGAAGGAAUGUACUUCCAGAAUAAGUCUCGGCUAACUACGUGCCAGCAGCCGCGGUAACACGUAGGAGGCGAACGUUAUCCGGAUUUACUGGGCGUAAAGCGCGUGUAGGUGGUACUGUAAGUAGGGCGUGAAAGCUCCUGGCUNNNNUGGGAGAGGCCGUUCUAAAACUACAGAACUAGAGGAUGGUNGAGGGAGGUGGAAUUCCAGGUGUAGCGGUGGAAUGCGCAGAUAUCUGGAGGAACACCGGUGGCGAAGGCGGCCUCCUGGACCAUUCCUGACACUCAGACGCGAAAGCUAGGGUAGCAAACGGGAUUAGAGACCCCGGUAGUCCUAGCCCUAAACGAUGUAGACUAGGCGUCGGAAGUUUAAUCACUUUCGGUGUCCAAGCUAACGCGAUAAGUCUACCGCCUGGGGACUACGGCCGCAAGGUUAAAACUCAAAGGAAUUGACGGGUCCCCGCACAAGCAGCGGAGCGUGUGGUUUAAUUCGUUGCUACACGAAGAACCUUACCUGGGUUUGACAUAGCAGUGGUAGGGAAGCGAAAGCGGACCGACCCUUCGGGGAGCUGUUACAGGUGUUGCAUGGCUGUCGUCAGCUCGUGUCGUGAGAUGUUCGGUUAAGUCCGCUAACGAGCGCAACCCGCGUUGUGUGUUACAAGUGUCACACAAUACCGCCGGUAUUAAGUCGGAGGAAGGUGCGGAUGACGUCAAGUCAGCACGGCCCUUAUGUCCAGGGCUACACACGUGUUACAAUGGUCGGUACAGAGGGCAGCUACCUGGUGACAGGAUGCUAAUCUCGAAAACCGGUCUCAGUUCGGAUCGAAGUCUGCAACUCGACUUCGUGAAGCUGGAUUCGCUAGUAAUCGCGCAUCAGCCAUGGCGCGGUGAAUACGUUCCCGGGCCU
rnacentral:rRNA from 1 species